GAAAGACGUGUCUAGGGUACCACAGAUAUCAGUGUGUUGUGUUUACUACUGUGCCCAUGCUUCCAUCUUGAUGACAAGGAGGACGACUCCUUCAUCAUUCCCACUACAGAAUACACAAUGGUUCACAUCUUGAAACUGUUUCAGUGUUAUUAACCUGGAUUCCAUUUGGAUGAAAUGAAGCCAGAAGGGCAUGAUUGCAAAUGUUCACUUUGGUUCCAGAAGCAGCUCAAUAAAAGAAAGAAAAGUUUUAGCAUUUCUUCCAGAAGACGUCAAUGAGAAAAAAAGAACCUAAAAGAAACCUACUUAAUGUUUUAUGACAGAAAUCUAGAAUCAAAUUGAAUUAAGGACAGCAUAGAUGCUGAAACUACUGAAGAAUGCUGCAGUUAUCUCAUCGAGUGAUGUUCAUCAUUGGAGUCUGUUGAAAUACUUCCGCAUGAGGAAGGAAUGAUGCAUAUAAGCAAAUCUUGAAGAGAAGACUUCACAUAUUUCCCGACUAAUCUCUGAUGAGACAGCUUUCUUCCAUUCUUAAAGGAGGAAGAAAGGGAGAAUCAGCAAGUAAAACAAAACAAGAAAAUGAUGUUCAUUCCACAUAACAUAUUUAAUUUGAUCGACAAUCUUUAGCCUGUCAUUGACCAAGAACACCCAAG
ensembl:lncRNA